rnacentral:rRNA from 1 species
UACGUAGGGGGCAAGCGUUGUCCGGAUUUAUUGGGCGUAAAGAGCGUGUAGGCGGCCACACAGGUCUGCUGUGAAAACUCGAGGCUCAACCUCGAGCUGUCGGUGGAAACCGUGUGGCUAGAGUCCGGAAGAGGAGAGUGGAAUUCCCGGUGUAGCGGUGAAAUGCGCAGAUAUCGGGAAGAACACCGGUGGCGAAGGCGGUCCGCUGGGGUGUUGCUGACGCUGAGGCGCGACAGCGUGGGGAGCGAACAGG